CCUACGGGUGGCAGCAGUGGGGAAUAUUGGACAAUGGGGGGAACCCUGAUCCAGCGACGCCGCGUGAGUGAAGAAGUAUUUCGGUAUGUAAAGCUCUAUCAGCAGGGAAGAAAGAAAUGACGGUACCUGACUAAGAAGCCCCGGCUAACUACGUGCCAGCAGCCGCGGUAAUACGUAGGUGGCAAGCGUUAUCCGGAUUUACUGGGUGUAAAGGGAGCGUAGACGGCAGUGCAAGUCUGGAGUGAAAGGCGGGGGCUCAACCCCCGGACUGCUCUGGAAACUGUACGGCUGGAGUGCAGGAGAGGUAAGUGGAAUUCCUAGUGUAGCGGUGAAAUGCGUAGAUAUUAGGAGGAACACCAGUGGCGAAGGCGGCUUACUGGACUGUAACUGACGUUGAGGCUCGAAAGCGUGGGGAGCAAACAGGAUUAGAUACCCCAGUAGUC
rnacentral:rRNA from 1 species